rnacentral:rRNA from 1 species
UACGUAGGGUGCGAGCGUUAAUCGGAAUUACUGGGCGUAAAGCGUGCGCAGGCGGUUCGUUAAGUUCGUUGUGAAAGCCCCGGGCUUAACCUGGGAAGGUCAUCCAAGACUGAGCGACUAGAGUAUAGUAGAGGGAAGUGGAAUUUCCGGUGUAGCGGUGAAAUGCGUAGAUAUCGGAAGGAACACCAGUGGCGAAGGCGACUUCCUGGACUAAUACUGACACUGAGGUGCGAAAGCGUGGGGAGCAAACAGG